UUUUGUUUAUAACCUGUGAAGAGCUCUCAUCAGUAAGGUGAACCUUGAGGCUUUAAUAUGCUUGGGAAAGUUUGAAUGUUACUCUACCUUCAUCCUGUAUUAAUGGGAAACAGCCCCUGAUGAAGGGCUUUGUGAGACAGCUACUUAUCUUGGGGUGGCUGUAGUGUGCUCUCCCUUGUUUGAUUCGUCAUCCACCAACAGUCAUCACAGAGUGGAGAUGGUUGGAGAGUUCAAGAAGGGAAGUGUUUCAUUUGCCUCUUAGUAGGUGGUGAUUCAGCAUUGGCUAAUGUUCCUUGGGAUGCUCUCAUGAACUCUGAGAGAAGAUAUUUUGAACAUCUGGAGGACAGGUCCUCUUUACUUGGAAAUUCUAGAACCUCAUGCAAGUUUCUUGAACUGAAACCUCAAUGGGUAAUUAGAGAUGAAAACAACUACUAGAGAAUCAGCAGGACUGUUUGACUGUUUAUAGACUAUACAGGGCUUUCAGAAAGUCUUACAAUAAAUACCAAUUUAGGUUUUUACAGCAAA